rfam:Oryza glumipatula chromosome 7, whole genome shotgun sequence.
AAUAAAUACAGAGUUUUCGCGUCUAACUUUGAUUGUCCGUCUUAUUUAAAAAUUUGUUAUAAUUAGCAUUUUUAUUGUUAUAAGAUGAUAAAAUAUGAAUAGUACUUUACUCGUGACUUGUUUAAAAAAUUUUUCAAAUAAGACGAAUGGUCAAAAUUAGGCGCGGAAAACCAUUUCUACACUUAUU